AAACUACUCAUCCGUCCAGAAAUACUUGUCGGAGAAAUGCAUAAAAAUGGAUGUAUCUAGAACUAAAAUAUGUCUAGAUACAUCCAUUUCUCCGACAAGUAUUUCCGGAUGGAGGGAGUAUCAU
rfam:Triticum aestivum genome assembly, contig: Triticum_aestivum_CS42_TGACv1_scaffold_080729_1DS